CGUGAUGUGGAGCAGUCAGGUAGCUCGCUUAGCGGCUUUCGCUAAGAGGCGGUGGUUCAAAUCCACGCUUCGCGGCCA
rnacentral:tRNA from 1 species